CCAUUUAACCUAUUUAAAAUGGCGGCAUUUUAUUUUAUUAGAGGAACCUGUUUAUUAAUCGACAAUCCACGAUAAUUUUAACUUAUUUUUUUUUAUAAAAUUUAUAUACCAUCAUCUUAAGAAUUAAUUCAAUAAUUCUAUUCCUAAUAAUUAAAAUAGAAAGUUAGAUCAAGGUGUAAUUUAUAUUUAAGUAUAAAUGGGUUACUUUAAAUAAAAUUCAAGGAUUUUUCUUUUAAAAAAUUAAAUAAAAUAGGAUCUAAAAGUAAUUAAAUAAUAAUAUUUUUUUAUGAAUAAAAUUAUAAAUGUGUACAC
rnacentral:rRNA from 1 species